rnacentral:rRNA from 1 species
GAUGAACGCUGGCGGCGUGCCUAAUACAUGCAAGUCGAGCGAACAGACGAGGAGCUUGCUCCUCUGACGUUAGCGGCGGACGGGUGAGUAACACGUGGAUAACCUACCUAUAAGACUGGGAUAACUUCGGGAAACCGGAGCUAAUACCGGAUAAUAUAUUGAACUGCAUGGUUCACUAGUGAAAGACGGUUUUGCUGUCACUUAUAGCUGGAUCCGCGCCGCAUUAGCUAGUUGGUAAGGUAACGGCUUACCCAGGCAACGAUGCGUAGCCGACCUGAAAGGGUGAUCGGCCACACUGGAAGUGAGACAGGGUCCAGACUCCUACGGGAGGCAGCAGUAGGGAAUCUUCCGCAAUGGGCGAAAGCCUAACGGAGCAACGCCGCGUGAGUGAUGAAGGUCUUCGGAUCGUAAAACUCUGUUAUUAGGGAAGAACAAAUGUGUAAGUAACUAUGCACGUCUUGACGGUACCUAGUCAGAAAGCCACGGCUAACUACGUG